rnacentral:rRNA from 1 species
UACGGAGGGUUCAAGCGUUAUCCGGAUUCACUGGGUUUAAAGGGUGCGUAGGUGGGCAGGUAAGUCAGUGGUGAAAUCUCCGGGCUUAACCCGGAAACUGCCGUUGAUACUAUCUGUCUUGAAUAUAGUGGAGGUGAGCGGAAUAUGUCAUGUAGCGGUGAAAUGCUUAGAUAUGACAUAGAACACCCAUUGCGAAGGCAGCUCGCUACACUAUCAUUGACACUGAGGCACGAAAGCGUGGGGAUCAAACAGG